GAGUUUGAUCAUGGCUCAGGACGAACGCUGGCGGCGCGCUUAACACAUGCAAGUCGAACGGGCUUCGGAAGGGGGGUCAGUGGCGAACGGGUGCGUAACACGUGAGCAACCUGCCCGGAUGCGGGGGAUAACUGGGGGAAACCCCAGCUAAUACCGCAUGGGCCUCUGGGUCUCCUGGCCUGGAGGUGAAAGGGGCUUCGGCCUUGUGUCCGGAGGGGCUCGCGGCGUAUCAGGUAGUUGGUAGGGUAAUGGCCUACCAAGCCGAUGACGCGUAGGGGGUCUGAGAGGAUGGCCCCCCACAUUGGGACUGAGAUACGGCCCAGGCUCCUACGGGAGGCAGCAGUGGGGAAUCUUGCGCAAUGGCCGAAAGGCUGACGCAGCGACGCCGCGUGCGGGAGGACGCCCUUCGGGGUGUAAACCGCUGUCAGUGGGGACGAACCCCCCAGGGAGGUAAUGCCCUGGGGCUGACGGUACCCGCAGAGGAAGCACCGGCUAACUCCGUGCCAGCAGCCGCGGUAAUACAAGGG
rnacentral:rRNA from 1 species